AUGUUAUCAUUAUCACUUUCAGCUACAGCAGUACAAAGAGCAAGCAAAAGGCUGCCUGUACACAAUGAUGUUCGCCUUCUACGAGUACGUACUCAAUUCGCGCUUUCACAGCACUGCAUAUACAUAACGCCGUACCUACAUAUAGCUAGAGAACUGUGUACUAGCUAGUAUACGGCUGGCUAUCUCGUUACACAGCCUAUAAAUCGGGCGUCGCGCGGCGUCGCGUUACAAGUGCCCCCUCCGGCAGCGCGCUAAUGACGUACUUGUUCCCGGCCCCGGCGCGGAUCGGCGAGUAGUUCGCGCCGAAUUUUACACUGAAUACAGUGAAUACUGUGUUUA